GCGUGAGUGAAGAAGGCCCUAGGGUUGUAAAACUCUUUCAGUGGUGACGAUGAUGACGGUAACCACAGAAGAAGCCCCGGCUAACUCCGUGCCAGCAGCCGCGGUAAUACGGAGGGGGCUAGCGUUGUUCGGAUUUACUGGGCGUAAAGCGCACGUAGGCGGCGAAUCUAGUCAGAGGUGAAAGGCCCGGGCUCAACCCGGGAACUGCCUUUGAUACUGGUUUGCUAGAGUUCGGAAGAGGGUAGCGGAAUUCCCAGUGUAGAGGUGAAAUUCGU
rnacentral:rRNA from 1 species